GCAAACUGGGUGUAGGGAUUCUGACCUGAGCUGGGGUCUGCGCUUCCAGUGAAUGCUGUGGGAGCAAGUGCUGGUGACAGGUUAGCGGAUGGCCCUGGCACCAAUAGGGCACUGGCUGGGCUGCCUGGGCGAGCUGGAGCCUACCAGAAAGCUUAGAUCCUGUGGCCAAGGGCACAGACCUUGGCGAAGUGGAGCGUGGCAGGCAGCCUGAUGACAGCGACUGCCCGUGAGAACUCUUCAUACAGAUGAAGAAUAUCCAAUAGCUGGAAUGAUGCAGUUUUGGAGGAUCUAAAAAUGGUGAUGACUUCUACUCCAACUCAGAAAGGCAGUUCUGUGGUGGACCAUGACGCCAAGCUUCCUUGAUGAGACCACUGCCUGGAUAAUCAGGAAUUGUUUAAAGUGAUUACAGAGGCCGAGAAGUCCCACAAUCUACUGUCUACAAUAUAGAGACCCAGGAAAGCCAGUGGUAUAAUUCAGUCUGAGUCUGAAGACCAGAGAACCAGGGAGCCAGAGGUUUAAGUCACAGACCGAGUUUUAAGGCCUGAAAACGAAGAGCAUCAAUGUCUGAUGGGGAGAAGAUGGAUGUCCCAGCUCAGGCAGAGAGAACAAAUUUGCCCAUCCUCUUCCUCAUUGUUCUACUCAGGACCUCAAUAGAUUGGAUGUUUCCCAACAGCAUUGAUGAUGGUGAUCUUCAUUACUCAGUCUAGCAAUUCAAAUGCUAAUCUCUUCCAUAAAUACCCACAAAGAUCCACCCAGAAAUAAUGUUUUACCAGAUAUCUGGGCAUCCCUUAGCCCAGUCAAGUUGACACGUUAAAAUUAAUCAUAACAGCAAGUAAAGGAGUUUCUCAUUGAUGCUUGCAUAGUC